CGCUGGCGGCGUGCCUAAUACAUGCAAGUCGAGCGAACGGACAGGAGUGCUUGCACUCCUUGAAGUUAGCGGCGGACGGGUGAGUAACACGUGGGUUACCUACCUAUAAGACUGGGAUAACUUCGGGAAACCGGAGCUAAUACCGGAUAAUAUAUNGCUCCGCAUGGAGGAAUAGUCAAAGACGGUUCUGCUGUCACUUAUAGAUGGACCCGCGGUGUAUUAGCUAGUUGGUGAGGUAACGGCUCACCAAGGCAACGAUACAUAGCCGACCUGAGAGGGUGAUCGGCCACACUGGGACUGAGACACGGGUCCAGACUCCUACGGGAGGCAGCAGUAGGGAAUCUUCCGCAAUGGGCGAAAGUCUGACGGAGCAACGCCGCGUGAGUGAAGAAGGUUUUCGGAUCGUAAAACUCUGUUGU
rnacentral:rRNA from 1 species